UACGAAGGGGGCUAGCGUUGUUCGGAAUCACUGGGCGUAAAGCGCGUGUAGGCGGCCCAUUAAGUCUGAUGUGAAAGCCCGGGGCUCACCCCCGGAAGUGCAUUGGAAACUGAUGGACUCGAGUCCCGGAGAGGAGAGUGGAAUUCCUGGUGUAGCGGUGAAAUGCGUAGAUAUCAGGAGGAACACCGGUGGCGAAGGCGGCUCUCUGGACGGUGACUGACGCUGAGACGCGAAAGCGUGGGGAGCAAACAGG
rnacentral:rRNA from 1 species